rnacentral:rRNA from 1 species
UACAGAGGGGGCAAGCGUUGCUCGGAAUUACUGGGCGUAAAGGGCGCGUAGGCGGCCUUCUAAGUCGGACGGGAAAUCCCCGGGCUCAACCCGGGAACUGCGUCCGAUACUGGAAGGCUUGAAUCCGGGAGAGGGAUGUGGAAUUCCAGGUGUAGCGGUGAAAUGCGUAGAUAUCUGGAGGAACACCGGUGGCGAAGGCGACAUCCUGGACCGGUAUUGACGCUGAGGCGCGAAAGCCAGGGGAGCAAACGGG